GCCGAGGUGGUGGAAUUGGUAGACACGCAGCGUUCAGGUCGCUGUCACCGCAAGGUGGUAGGAGUUCAAGUCUCCUCCUCGGCA
rnacentral:tRNA from 1 species